AUUUUGUUUCUAUUAAGAUUUUGGACAUAUCGUAUUUGAGUCGUGGGCUAUGUGUUAUGAUGAUAUUGGUAUUGUUGUUGUGAAUAGGUUGUGGGCUAUGGACACCUGUGGUAUGAGUUAAUAUGUCGUGUUGUUGUGAUGUUAGUACAUGUAGAUUUGUUGUGUGGUUUGAUUGUUGUUAUAUGGAUCAUAAGGGUGGGAUCUCAUUGUUAUUAAUUGUGCAGAGUAAUACGGUUGGCUAUUGAUAUAUUGUUUUGGC
rnacentral:lncRNA from 1 species